UACGUAGGGGGCAAGCGUUGUCCGGAAUCAUUGGGCGUAAAGAGCGUGUAGGCGGUCCGGUAAGUCGGCUGUGAAAGUCCAGGGCUCAACCCUGGGAUGCCGGUCGAUACUGCCGGACUAGAGUUCGGAAGAGGCGAGUGGAAUUCCCGGUGUAGCGGUGAAAUGCGCAGAUAUCGGGAGGAACACCUAUGGCGAAGGCAGCUCGCUGGGACGUUACUGACGCUGAGACGCGAAAGCGUGGGGAGCAGACAGG
rnacentral:rRNA from 1 species